rnacentral:rRNA from 1 species
CCUACGGGAGGCAGCAGUGAGGAAUAUUGGUCAAUGGACGAGAGUCUGAACCAGCCAAGUAGCGUGAAGGAUGACUGCCCUAUGGGUUGUAAACUUCUUUUAUAAAGGAAUAAAACGAGGCACGUGUGCCUUUUUGUAUGUACUUUAUGAAUAAGGAUCGGCUAACUCCGUGCCAGCAGCCGCGGUAAUACGGAGGAUCCGAGCGUUAUCCGGAUUUAUUGGGGUUAAAGGGAGCGUAGAUGGGUUGUUAAGUCAGUUGUGAAAGUUUGCGGCUCAACCGUAAAAUUGCAAUUGAUACUGGCAGUCUUGAGUACAGUUGAGGUAAGCGGAAUUCGUGGUGUAGCGGUGAAAUGCUUAGAUAUCACGAAGAACCCCGAUUGCGAAGGCAGCUUACUAAACUGUGACUGACAUUGAUGCUCGAAAGUGUGGGUAUCAAACAGGAUUAGAUACCCUUGUAGUC